rnacentral:rRNA from 1 species
UGGGGAAUAUUGGACAAUGGGCGCAAGCCUGAUCCAGCAAUGCCGCGUGAGUGAUGAAGGCCUUAGGGUUGUAAAGCUCUUUCGCCCGCGACGAUGAUGACGGUAGCGGGAGAAGAAGCCCCGGCUAACUCCGUGCCAGCAGCCGCGGUAAUACGGAGGGGGCUAGCGUUGUUCGGAAUUACUGGGCGUAAAGGGCGCGCAGGCGGCUGCUCAAGUCAGGCGUGAAAGGCCUGGGCUCAACCCGGGAAUUGCGCUUGAGACUGGGCUGGCUUGAGUGCGGGAGAGGAUGGUGGAAUUCCCAGUGUAGAGGUGAAAUUCGUAGAUAUUGGGAAGAACACCGGUGGCGAAGGCGGCCACCUGGACCGCAACUGACGCUGAGGCGCGAAAGCGUGGGGAGCAAACAGGAUUAGAUACCCUGGUAGUCCACGCCGUAAACGAUGAGUGCUAGACGUUGGGAAGCCUAGCUUUCCGGUGUCGCAGCUAACGCAA